rnacentral:rRNA from 1 species
CAAUACACCAGUGGCGCACGGGUGAGUAAUGAGUAGCUAACGUACCCCUUAGUCUGGGAUAGCUGCCCGAAAGGGCAGGUAAUACCAGAUGACAUCACGGUGUCGCAUGGCACUGUGCUCAAAGAUUUAUCGCUUUGGGAUCGGGCUACUUUGUAUCAGCUAGUUGGUGAGGUAAUGGCUCACCAAGGCUUUGACGCAUAGCCGGACUGAGAGGUCGGCCGGCCACAUCGAAACUGAGACACUGUUCGGACUCCUACGGGGGGCUGCAGUAACGAAUCUUCCGCAAUGCACGAAAGUGUGACGGAGCGACGCCGAGUGUGGGAUGAAUUCCUUCGGGAUGUAAACCACUGUCAAGAGAAAGAAAGUUCUGAUCUACUCUAAAGGAAGUGGCGACUAACUCUGUGCCAGCAGUCGCGGUAAUACAGAGGCCACAAGUGUUAGGCGGAAUCACUGGGCUUAAAGCGUGUGUAGGCGGGAUGGUAAGUACUUUGUGAAAUCCCACGGCUUAACCGUGGAAUUGCUUGGUAUACUGCCGUUCUUGAGUCAUCUAGGGGCAGCCGGAACAGAUGGUGGAGCGGUGAAAUGCGUAGAUAUCAUCUGGAACGCCAAUGGUGCAGACAGGCUGCUGGGGAUGUACUGACGCUGAGGCACGAAAGCCAGGGGAGCAAACGGGAUUAGAUACCCCGGUAGUCCUGGCCCUAAACGAUGUCUACUAGAUCGUGGCGGCACUGACGCCGUCAUGGUCGAAGCAAAGUGUUAAGUAGACCGCCUGGGAAGUACGGUCGCAAGGCUAAAACUCAAAGAAAUUGACGGGGGCUCACACAAGCGGUGGAGCAUGUGGUUCAAUUCGAAGCAACGCGAAGAACCUUACCUGGCUUGACAUGCUAGAUUAUCUCCAUGAAAGUGAGUACGCGCGCAGCCGUGACUAGUACAGGUGCUGCAUGCUGUCGUCAGCUCG